CGGCUCACAGGAGACAGGCGUUGGGGGUGCAGCUUCCAGGCUCAGACUGGUCCCCCCAGCAAGGAGCUAAACGUGUCUCCCUGCGCCAGGUUUCUCCAUCCUGGACACCAGGGUUCCCCAGCCAUCAGCAGGUCUUGAGGCUGCAUCGUGACCACCCGUCCGUGCUCCUUUCAGACACUGUCUGGCCCAUUCCAGGAGCUGGUUCCUCUCUCGGAUGCGCAGACUUUGGGGAAGUGUCUGGCUCCAAGGGACGGACGAUCACAGAUAUUUGUAAGAGCUCAGUUGCUAUUUAGGUAGCCCAUUGAAGGAGCAGAUUCACCUGGCAGCAGCAUCCUGUUACACCCAGCAUGGAGCUCAGCGUCCUCCUCCAUCUCCUGGCUUCUCUCCAGAUCCUUCCCCAGCUGGUGUCACCUGCAGCCCCCCUGCAAGCCCCAAGGGUCAUCAUGGACCCCCAGUACCCUGUGUAUUUCCCGGGGGAGCGUCUCACCCUUAGAUGCUUGGCCCCUGGCGGGGAGGCCGUGAGCAGCUACCAGUUCUACAAUCAGCGUGGGGAGCGAGUCUUCACGGAAACCACCAGCCUGUCCGGGGGGCCCUGGCUGGUCCUGACGGCUGAGAUGGGGAAGGCCGGGGCGUACAGCUGUGAGUACUGGGCAGUGAGAGACGGGCGGCCCAUCUACUCUGCACGAAGCCAGCCUCUCCUGGUACCAGUGAUGGAUUUCCCUCUUGCGCCAUCCAUCUCUGUGAUUUCUGAUUCCUCCGGGAAGAGCCCUGUUACCAUCGUAUGCUCAGCCCCUCAGGGACAUGUGGCUAAAAGGUACCAGUUCCUGAGGCAGGGGAAUGUCAUUGUCUCACAGUCGGGUGCCCGUCUCCAGCUCCGUCAAUCUGAUUUGGAUGCUACCGGCCCCUACACCUGCAGCUAUGAGGUCAAUGUCUCAGGGAGAAUGAUCCAGUCACUACCGAGUGACCCCCUCUCAAUCCAUCUGACAGGGUCUUCCGUGCUCCCGGAAACCUUUCGGCCAACUCUGCAGCUGUCACCAACGGGUCCUGAGUUCACCACCGGAGAUUCUGUUACCCUGACGUGCUCAGCUCCCAGCUGGGAGAAGAAGAUGCGGUUCUGCUUCCUCAAGGCUGGGGAACAAGUGGCAUGCACAAGACAGGCGCGGGAGGACUCUCAGAGUUACCAGAUUGGCAGACUCAGCAUGGAGGAUUCUGGCUCAUACACCUGUAUGUACUGGGUAGCCGAACCUGGGCAAGAGAUCUCCUCCCUAGAGAGCCAGCCCAUCUCCAUCACAGUCACAGAUGUCUCACUGCCCCCGCCGGCCCCCCAAAUCAUUCUGGAUCCCCUGAAACACAUCUAUUUUCAGGGGGAGCAUGUCAAGCUCACCUGCUCAGUUCCUGGCAGCGAGCAGGUGGGGGGAUACAGAUUCUACCAUCAAAGAGAGGAGCAGAUCUCCGAGCUGGACGAGGGAGCUUGGCUGGAGCGCACGGCUAUGACUGGGAAUGCUGGGACAUACUUCUGUGCCUAUUGGAUAAUUCGAUCUGGGCAAGCGAUCCUGUCACGGAAGAGUGACUCCAUCUCCAUCAUUGUGACUGCUCCUCCACUGGCCCCCCAACUCUCUCUGCAUCCCAAGCUCCCCGUGUACCUGCCCGGGGAGAAGGUCACCCUCAACUGCUCAGUCCCCCACGGCAAGGAGGUGGCGGGGCUCAGGUUCCACCAGCAUAGAGGGGAUCAGACCCCUGAAGAGCUGCCAGCUGCCAGUGGGGGGCCCUGGAUGGAGCUCAUGGCGCAGAUGGGGAAUGACGGCUCCUACACCUGUCAGUACUGGAGACAGGAGGCCGGGCAGGAGAUUGUAUCUGAGAACAGUAAUAGCAUCACUGUACCAGUGUCAGACCCCCUUCCCCAGCCAUUGCUGAGCAUGGAUCCCCCAUCUGGAGAGGUGAGUGAAGGGCUCCCCCUCCUCAUUGCCUGCAUGGCUCCUGGUGACCUCGGUGAGUGGAGAUUUCACUUUUACAAGGAUGGAACCGAGAUCAUCCCCAGAGUUGAGGGGUCUGAGAUCAGCACCAUGGAGUCUGUCUCCGGCUCUAUGAACAUCUCUGUGCUCAGCAUCCCACGGGCUGGUCCUAAGAACACUGGGGAAUUCACCUGUGGGUACGAGAAGAACAUGAGCGGGAGAUGGAUCCAGUCCCCGAGGAGCCAGGCUGUGAAUGUUACCUGGAAUGUCACCAGGAAUUACAGCUGGAGAGCAGGCUGGGCUCUGCCCCUCCCCUUGGUGGCUGGUUGCGGUGGUGGAGGAGCCGCUCUGGGGCUACUGGCUCUUCUUGGCUGCUGCUGCAGAAAGAAUAAGAAAGGUAGCAGCAAGACAGCAGCUGGGGUAAUCGAUAUCCCUCCAACACGUUGGCCCAUCCCAUCUGUUAUGGCAGAGGAACCCGCCUCCUCCCACAACAUCUACCUUCGUCCCCCAACUUCUCCCCUCUGGACCGAGCUGUGAGGAGCCAGGCUGUGAACGAGAGAGCACAGAUGAGUGAAUAUGAGAAAGGGAGAAUGAUAAAUGAAUGGGAGAGAAGGAAAAAGGGCUGGGCCAAUGAGAUGUUUAUUUUCCGCUAUCUGUCCCAUCCCACUUUCACCCCAAGUCCUUCCCAAUGCUGAGUGGGGAAGCACUGGGAUGGGUUCCCUAGGGAGGUGGUGGAAUCUCCAUCCUUAGAGGUUUUGAAGGUCAGGCUUGACAAAGCCCUGGCUGGGAUGAUUUAGUUGGGGUUGGUCCUGCUUUGAGCAGGGGGUUGGACUAGAUACCUCCUGAGGUCCCUUCCAACCCUGAUCUUCUAUGAGUCUAUGAUUCUAUGAUCAGAAGUGUAUACCUAGGUCUGGCAGAAUUUUGAUUAUUUUGUUAUAAUUUCAACAGGUAAUAAGCAUUCAAAAAUAUAUAUUUUUUCACAGUUGCAAGAAAUUACCAGGGAGAAGUCAGACAACAGGGGGCUUAGAGAAUAAUUAUUUAAUGACAGGCCAUGCCAAGAUUCAAAAAAGUAAAGCUUUAUAUCUGGUACAGCCCAGAUUGUCAGCCCCACGUGCCAAAAUAUGCAACAUCAAUAUCUUCAGAUCAAACUUUGAUUCUCAAACAGCCUUUCCCCUUACAUUGCGUAUCUGUACAUUUCUGGAAAUAUUUUCCCCAUUUGUUUCUGGAGAAUCAUCCAGUCGAUCGCUUGACUGCACUUUGGUUUGUUACGAAACCUGCUCAAGAGACCAAAUGACCAAUCUCCGUCAGGUUUAUUGCAGAAAGGAAAUUAUAGGACCAGACAGAGGGGAAAGGUUCAAUACAAUACUCGUUUGAUAGAUUUUAAGUCUAGAAGUGAUCACUGUGAUCAUCUAGUUUGAUCUCCUGCAUAACACAGGCCAGAGAACUGCCCCACAAUAACUCCUAGAGAGGAACUUUUAGAAAGGCCCAAUCUGGAUUGAAAAGUGCCCAUGAUGAAGAAUCCACCACAACCCUUGGUGCUCCAUUGCUUAAUUAAAUGUUCAUGCAUUAUUAGCAGUCUAAUGAUGAUGGCCAGUGUGACACAUGCUUUCAGUAGAGACCGUACGUGAUGUUAUAUUGGUGACCCUGUGGGUUCCCCAUAGCCCCACGUAUCCCAGUGCCCUCUGCCAGUUGGUACGAGGAGGUUUGGGGCCAGGGUGAGAAGCAGAGCAAACAAGCGAGAGACGCAGCGAAUAGAUAGCGAAAAGGAAUGGAGGAAUGAGGAAGAGAAAGUCAGGGAAAGAAGGAGGUGAUGAAUAAAGAGGAGAGAAUGAGCGGGAAUGGAGGAAUGAAGCAGAGAGAAAAGCUACCACCUAGAGCAUUGUUGGCCAAUGAUAGCCCCACCCAAAACUCCCACCCUCGCCCAUUAUCACACUCCAGGAGCCUGUUCCCCAAAUCCUCCCAACCCUUAGGGGUAGGAGCCCAUAAUUCCCCCCUCUGACCCUCCCAGCUCCAUCACUGAGACAUAGUUCUGACUCUUUCAGCUACCUGGGUGUCAACGGAGCCCCUGGGGUCAAUUUAGCUCUGCAGCAAAAGAGCCAUGACGGGUGGGAUCAGCCGGUGAUGCACAACCAGCGGCGGCUACCCAGCAUCCCUGGUGGGAAAUCCAAGAAAAGAGGCAAGGGAGAAGAGG